UACGGGGGAGCAAGCGUUGUUCGGAUUUACUGGGCGUAAAGGGCGCGUAGGCAGUCAGCACAAGUCAGUUGUGAAAUCUCCGGGCUUAACUCGGAAAGGUCAACUGAUACUGUGCGACUAGAGUGCAGAAGGGGCAACUGGAAUUCUCGGUGUAGCGGUGAAAUGCGUAGAUAUCGAGAGGAACACCUGCGGCGAAGGCGGGUUGCUGGGCUGACACUGACGCUGAUGCGCGAAAGCCAGGGGAGCGAACGGG
rnacentral:rRNA from 1 species